AUUGAACGCUGGCGGCGUGCCUAACACAUGCAAGUCGAGCGGCAGCGCGGGAGCAAUCCUGGCGGCGAGCGGCGGACGGGUGAGUAACGCUUGGGAAUCUGCCUGUUAGUGGGGGACAACCCGGGGAAACUCGGGCUAAUACCGCAUACGCACUACGGUGGAAAGCCGGGGACCGCAAGGCCUGGCGCUAACAGAUGAGCCCAAGUCGGAUUAGCUAGUUGGUAGGUAACGGCCACCAAGGCGACGAUCCGUAACUGGUCUGAGAGGACGACCAGUCACACCGGAACUGAGACACGGUCCGGACUCCUACGGGAGGCAGCAGUGGGGAAUAUUGGACAAUGGGGAAACCCUGAUCCAGCGACGCCGCGUGGGUGAAGAAGGCCUGCGGGUUGUAAAGCCCUUUCAGUGGGGAAGAAAAGCCUCGACCUAACACGUCGGGGUCUUGACGUAACCCAUAGAAGAAGCACCGGCUAACUCUGUGCCAGCCGCCGCAGUAAC
rnacentral:rRNA from 1 species